UACGUAGGUGGCAAGCGUUGUUCGGAAUUAUUGGGCGUAAAGGGCGCGUAGGCGGUUUGUUAAGUCACUUGUGAAAUCUCCGGGCUUAACUCGGAACGGCCAAGUGAAACUGUCAUGCUAGAGUGCAGAAGGGGCAAUCGGAAUUCUUGGUGUAGCGGUGAAAUGCGCAGAUAUCAAGAGGAACACCUGAGGUGAAGACGGGUUGCUGGGCUGACACUGACGCUGAGGCGCGAAAGCCAGGGGAGCAAACGGG
rnacentral:rRNA from 1 species